AUGAACGCUAGCUACAGGCUUAACACAUGCAAGUCGAGGGGCAGCAUGGUCUUAGCUUGCUAAGGCCGAUGGCGACCGGCGCACGGGUGAGUAACACGUAUCCAACCUGCCGUCUACUCUUGGACAGCCUUCUGAAAGGAAGAUUAAUACAAGAUGGCAUCAUGAGUCCGCAUGUUCACAUGAUUAAAGGUAUUCCGGUAGACGAUGGGGAUGCGUUCCAUUAGAUAGUAGGCGGGGUAACGGCCCACCUAGUCUUCGAUGGAUAGGGGUUCUGAGAGGAAGGUCCCCCACAUUGGAACUGAGACACGGUCCAAACUCCUACGGGAGGCAGCAGUGAGGAAUAUUGGUCAAUGGGCGCAGGCCUGAACCAGCCAAGUAGCGUGAAGGAUGACUGCCCUAUGGGUUGUAAACUUCUUUUAUAAAGGAAUAAAGUCGGGUAUGGAUACCCGUUUGCAUGUACUUUAUGAAUAAGGAUCGGCUAACUCCGUGCCAGCAGCCGCGGUAAUACGGAGGAUCCGAGCGUUAUCCGGAUUUAUUGGGUUUAAAGGGAGCGUAGAUGGAUGUUUAAGUCAGUUGUGAAAGUUUGCGGCUCAACCGUAAAAUUGCAGUUGAUACUGGAUAUCUUGAGUGCAGUUGAGGCAGGCGGAAUUCGUGGUGUAGCGGUGAAAUGCUUAGAUAUCACGAAGAACUCCGAUUGCGAAGGCAGCCUGCUAAGCUGCAACUGACAUUGAGGCUCGAAAGUGUGGGUAUCAAACAGGAUUAGAUACCCUGGUAGUCCACACGGUAAACGAUGAAUACUCGCUGUUUGCGAUAUACAGCAAGCGGCCAAGCGAAAGCGUUAAGUAUUCCACCUGGGGAGUACGCCGGCAACGGUGAAACUCAAAGGAAUUGACGGGGGCCCGCACAAGCGGAGGAACAUGUGGUUUAAUUCGAUGAUACGCGAGGAACCUUACCCGGGCUUAAAUUGCAGAUGAAUUACGGUGAAAGCCGUAAGCCGCAAGGCAUCUGUGAAGGUGCUGCAUGGUUGUCGUCAGCUCGUGCCGUGAGGUGUCGGCUUAAGUGCCAUAACGAGCGCAACCCUUGUUGUCAGUUACUAACAGGUUCCGCUGAGGACUCUGACAAGACUGCCAUCGUAAGAUGUGAGGAAGGUGGGGAUGACGUCAAAUCAGCACGGCCCUUACGUCCGGGGCUACACACGUGUUACAAUGGGGGGUACAGAGGGCCGCUGUCCGGUGACGGUCGGCCAAUCCCUAAAACCCCUCUCAGUUCGGACUGGAGUCUGCAACCCGACUCCACGAAGCUGGAUUCGCUAGUAAUCGCGCAUCAGCCAUGGCGCGGUGAAUACGUUCCCGGGCCUUGUACACACCGCCCGUCAAGCCAUGAAAGCCGGGGGUACCUGAAGUGCGUAACCGCGAGGAGCGCCCUAGGGUAAAACUGGUGACUGGGGCU
rnacentral:rRNA from 1 species